GAUGAACGCUGGCGGCGUGCCUAAUACAUGCAAGUCGAGCGAACAGAUGAGGAGCUUGCUCCUCUGACGUUAGCGGCGGACGGGUGAGUAACACGUGGAUAACCUACAUAUAAGACUGGGAUAACUCCGGGAAACCGGAGCUAAUACCGGAUAAUAUAUUGAACCGCAUGGUUCAAUAGUGAAAGACGGUUUUGCUGUCACUUAUAGAUGGAUCCGCGCCGCAUUAGCUAGUUGGUAAGGUAACGGCUUACCAAGGCAACGAUGCGUAGCCGACCUGAGAGGGUGAUCGGCCACACUGGAACUGAGACACGGUCCAGACUCCUACGGGAGGCAGCAGUAGGGAAUCUUCCGCAAAGGGCGAAAGCCUGACGGAGCAACGCCGCGUGAGUGAUGAAGGUCUUCGGAUCGUAAAACUCUGUUAUUAGGGAAGAACAAAUGUGUAAGUAACUAUGCACGUCUUGACGGUACCUAAUCAGAAAGCCACGGCUAACUACGUG
rnacentral:rRNA from 1 species